UUUAAUUUUUGACUUUUUGUCUUAUUUAAAUUUUUUAUUGAUAUUUUUAUUUUUAUUAGAUGAUAAAUUAUGAAUAGUAUUUUACGUGUGACUAAUUUUUUUAAUUUUUUGAAAAUUUUUAAAUAAAACGGAUGGUGAAACGUUGGACACGGAAACCGAAG
rnacentral:pre_miRNA from 1 species